UGAGGGAUAUUGGGCAAUGGGCGCAAGCCUGACCCAGCGACGCCGCGUGGAGGACGACGGGCUUCGGCUCGUAAACUCCUUUUCCCGGGGACGAGACAAGGACAGUACCGGGAGAAUAAGCUCCGGCUAACUUCGUGCCAGCAGCCGCGGUAAUACGAGGGGAGCUAGCGUUGAUCGGAAUUACUGGGCGUAAAGCGCGCGUAGGCGGUUUUUUAAGUCAGAGGUGAAAGCCCGGGGCCCAACCCCGGAAUUGCCUUUGAAACUGGAAAACUAGAAUCUUGGAGAGGUCAGUGGAAUUCCGAGUGUAGAGGUGAAAUUCGUAGAUAUUCGGAAGAACACCAGUGGCGAAGGCGACUGACUGGACAAGUAUUGAC
rnacentral:rRNA from 1 species